AGAAAUCUUUCAUCUUUAUUGAAUCACUCUAACUUGUUGAAGCUAUCAUCUUUUAACUGCACAUUUUUGGGCAAGAAAAAAAAAUAGAAGUUUUACUUUGUUAUAAAUCAAAGGUCAUAAUUGAAAUUUGGAGCUAAGAAUGGAUCAAUAGUUCAAAAUUUUGAAGUGUAAGAAAAAGGAAAAAAGAGAAGCAACUAGGUAAAGAUUCAAGCCAAUACUAUAAUCCAUGAAAUGAUUGCUGUUGUCUCAUCUUUUAUCUGCGUCUCUGAUAUGAUUUAUGGGAAAGAAGAACAAAGUCAAAGGUGUUCAACCAAGCUCAAGUUUUAGAAGCUAUAAGAGUAAACGGCUAAAAAUUGAAAUAGAGUUAGCACACUAUUUGGGUCUUCAUAGUUUUCUAGCUAUACCUUCUUCUCCUUCAUGAUUUUACAUU